GGGCCGCCCGGGACGCACGAGCGUCGGUAGCGCGGCGGGCCUGGUCAAGGCGGGGCCGCCAUAGCGCCAGCCCCUGUAUCCGCCCCCGCGCCUUUCAGCCGUAAGAAACUAGUUGGCUCGUUUUCCAUUCAUACUUAGAUUCUGUCAUUUAAAGAAGUCCCUACCUCUUACCACCGGGCUCUCUCCUGAGAACUGCCCGAGGCUCUGAGUGCUUGGGAACCAGACCCGCUAGGUGGCCGCACCUCCACGCAGCAAGUCGAACGCCACUGCCCGGGAGCAUAGCGGAGAUGAGGAGCAGGAGCAACUCCGGGGUCCGCUUGGAUGGAUACGCACGGCUGGUGCAGCAAACCAUCCUGUGUUACCAGAAUCCCGUCACAGGGCUGCUGUCAGCCAGUCAUGAGCAGAAGGAUGCCUGGGUGCGGGAUAACAUCUACAGCAUCCUGGCCGUGUGGGGCCUGGGCAUGGCCUACCGCAAGAAUGCCGACCGUGAUGAGGACAAAGCCAAGGCCUACGAGCUGGAGCAGAACGUGGUGAAACUGAUGCGGGGUCUUCUCCAGUGCAUGAUGAGACAGGUGGAUAAAGUGGAGAAGUUCAAGCACACUCAGAGUACCAAGGACAGCCUGCAUGCCAAGUACAACACCGCCACCUAUAGCACUGUGGUGGGCGACGACCAGUGGGGCCACCUCCAGGUGGAUGCCACCUCCCUCUUCCUCCUAUUCCUGGCCCAGAUGACUGCCUCAGGUUUACGUAUUAUUUUCACCCUUGAUGAGGUGGCCUUCAUACAGAAUCUUGUUUUUUACAUAGAAGCUGCAUAUAAAGUCGCUGAUUAUGGAAUGUGGGAACGUGGAGAUAAGACUAAUCAGGGCAUUCCAGAACUGAAUGCAAGCUCUGUAGGAAUGGCCAAGGCAGCCCUGGAGGCAAUUGACGAACUGGACCUUUUUGGAGCCCAUGGAGGACGCAAGUCCGUGAUCCACGUCUUACCCGAUGAGGUCGAACACUGCCAGUCUAUUCUCUUCUCCAUGCUGCCAAGAGCAUCGACGUCUAAGGAGAUUGAUGCUGGGCUUCUUUCCAUUAUUUCUUUCCCGGCCUUUGCAGUGGAAGAUGUGAACCUUGUGAAUGUGACCAAAAAUGAAAUUAUUUCCAAGCUCCAGGGGCGUUAUGGAUGCUGUCGCUUCCUUCGAGAUGGUUAUAAAACCCCAAGAGAGGACCCAAACCGAUUGCAUUAUGAUCCUGCUGAACUAAAGCUCUUUGAAAACAUUGAAUGUGAAUGGCCUGUGUUCUGGACGUAUUUCAUAAUUGAUGGGGUCUUCAACGGUGAUGCCGUUCAGGUCCAAGAAUACCGAGAGGCCCUGGAGGGGAUAUUAAUCAGAGGCCAGAAUGGGAUCCACCUGGUGCCCGAACUCUAUGCCAUCCCGCCUAACAAGGUAGAUGAAGAGUAUAAGAAUCCUCACACGGUGGACAGAGUUCCUCUGGGGAAGCUGCCCCAUCUGUGGGGUCAGUCCUUGUACAUCCUCAGCUCCCUGUUGGCAGAGGGAUUCCUUGCCACUGGUGAAAUUGAUCCCUUAAAUAGAAGAUUUUCCACUUCCGUCAAGCCUGAUGUCGUAGUACAAGUGACUAUUCUGGCAGAAAACCACCACAUUAAGGAGCUGCUAAGGAAACAUGGGGUGAAUGUCCAGAGUAUUGCUGACAUUCAUCCAAUCCGAGUCCAGCCAGGCCGGAUUCUCAGUCACAUAUAUGCCAAGCUUGGACGAAAUAAGAAUAUGAAAUUGAGUGGGCGACCAUAUCGGCACAUUGGUGUCCUUGGAACAUCUAAACUAUAUGUGAUUCGGAACCAAAUCUUUACUUUCACACCCCAGUUCACCGACCAGCAUCACUUCUACCUGGCGCUGGACAACGAGAUGAUCGUGGAGAUGCUGAGGAUCGAGCUGGCCUACCUGUGCACCUGCUGGCGGAUGACGGGCAGACCCACGCUCACCUUCCCCAUCACCCAUACCAUGCUCACAAAUGAUGGCUCAGAUAUUCAUUCUGCUGUUCUUUCAACAAUUCGAAAACUAGAGGAUGGAUAUUUUGGAGGAGCUAGAGUAAAAUUAGGGAGUCUUUCGGAAUUUCUCACCACCUCUUUCUAUACGUAUCUGACCUUCCUGGAUCCAGACUGUGAUGAGAAGUUGUUUGAUGGUGCCAGUGAAGGGAGCUUCAGUCCUGAUAGUGAUUCAGAUUUGGGAGGAUACUUGGAAGAUACCUAUAAUCAAGAAAGCCAGGAUGAACUUGACCAGUAUAUCAGCCACCUCCUGCAAAGCACAUCCUCGAAGUGCUAUCUGCCACCUCUUUGUAAGAAGACAGAGGACAGCCAUGUUUUCAGCGCCAUCCACUCCACUUGGGAUAUACUUUCUGUCAUGGCAAAAGCAAAGGGUUUGGAAAUUCCAUUUGUUCCCAUGGCUCUGCCAACUAAAAUUCUAAGUGCCCACCGUAAGUCACUGAAUCUUGUUGAUUCCCCUCAGCCACUCCUUAAAAAGGCUCCCGAAGAUGACUUCCACUUUCCCAGAGAUGACCGUGGUGAUGUGGACUGUGAGAAGCUUGUUGAGCAGCUGAAGGAUUGCUCGAACCUACAGGACCAAGCAGACAUUCUGUACAUUCUGUAUGUAAUGAAGGGUCCUAACUGGGACACACAUCUCUCUGGACAGCACGGGGUCACAGUUCACAACCUCCUUAGUGAGCUGUAUGGGAAAGCCGGCUUGAACCAGGAGUGGGGUCUGAUCCGCUACAUCUCUGGCCUACUCCGGAAGAAAGUGGAGGUCCUGGCUGAGGCCUGCACAGACCUGCUGUCACACCAGAAGCAGCUCACGGUGGGCCUGCCACCAGAACCCCGGGAGAAGACCAUCUCUGCGCCUCUUCCCCCUGAGGAGCUCACGAAACUCAUCUAUGAAGCCAGCGGGCAAGACAUCAGCAUCGCCGUCCUCACCCAGGAGAUUGUGGUGUACCUGGCCAUGUACGUCAGGGCGCAGCCCAGCCUCUUCGUAGAGAUGCUCAGGCUCCGGAUUGGACUGAUCAUUCAGGUGAUGGCCACGGAGCUGGCACGGAGCCUGAACUGUUCAGGAGAAGAAGCUUCUGAAAGUUUGAUGAACCUCAGCCCUUUUGAUAUGAAAAAUCUCCUGCACCAUAUUUUAAGUGGAAAAGAGUUUGGUGUUGAAAGAAGCAUGCGACCCAUCCAUUCCUCCACAUCCAGCCCAGCCAUCUCCAUCCAUGAGGUGGGACAUACUGGAGUCACCAAAACCGAGAGGAGUGGCAUCAGCAGGCUGAGGAGUGAGAUGAAACAGAUGACUAGGCGAUUUAGUGUUGACGACCAGCUCUUUUCCGUGAGCCAGGCCGCGUCCGGCAGUGCGCACUCCUCCAAGUCUGCGAGGUCCAGCACCCCAUCCUCGCCCACCGGCACAUCAUCGUCAGACUCAGGCGGGCACCACAUUGGCUGGGGGGAGCGGCAGGGCCAGUGGCUGCGCAGGAGAAGGUUGGAUGGUGCCAUCAACAGGGUCCCUGUGGGAUUCUACCAGAAGGUGUGGAAGAUCCUUCAGAAGUGCCACGGUCUGUCCAUCGACGGUUAUGUGCUCCCAUCCUCGACGACACGAGAGAUGACCCCCCAGGAGAUCAAGUUUGCUGUCCACGUUGAAUCAGUGCUGAACCGAGUGCCGCAGCCCGAGUACCGGCAGCUGCUGGUGGAGGCCAUCAUGGUGCUGACACUGCUCUCAGACACGGAGAUGAACAGCAUCGGGGGCAUCAUCCACGUGGACCAGAUCGUGCAGGUGGCCAACCAGCUGUUCCUGCAGGACCAGAUGUCGAUCGGAGCCAUGGACACACUGGAGAAAGACCAAGCCACGGGAAUUUGCCACUUCUUUUACGACAGUGCUCCCAGUGGGGCUUACGGGACCAUGACCUACCUAACGAAGGCAGUGGCUUCUCAUUUGCAGGAACUGCUGCCCAAUUCAGGCUGCCAGAUGCAAUAGGGCCCCAGCACGCUGCCUCUGUCAUUUGCUCCCCAACCUCCUGAGAACUUUCUUCUGUUCCGCAAGAUCCCCUGUGCUGUGACAAAAGCAUGUCCCAUCAGAAACACUGGCAGGGAGGAGAUGGCAGUGACAGACCUGAAAGCAGUAUUCAUCCAAGCCACAGAAAGAGCCGCUGAGUCCUGUGCUCCCCUGAGGAGCGCCCUGGGAUCGUUGUCUGCAUUCAUUUCGCUGGAAUAUUUGUUACAGCAUCUGGUUUCCUGGAGUCUGAGGAGGAAUUGGAAAUUGGUCUCUUUUGAGUGCAGAGGGAACUGAGAAGGCAGCUUCAAUCAGCUCCCGCAGUUACCAAAACACGUCUGAUGAGCUAGUGACACAUCUUAGAGAUGGAAAGAUCCUUCCAGUAGUGGCGGACCUUGACAAAGGGAACAUCUUAACAGGAUGCAGUCUAUCUGUGGACCAAAUAGAACAACCCCUUCUGUACACUCUGGUGGAUCAUUUCAAACACACAUAAUACAAGAAAGGUACAAGCCGUGAAAGGCCCAGGUGCUUCUGGGCGAAGGCUCGGGAAGAGUUACAGCCCUCCAGAAUGAGCCAGGUGCUAAUUUAGAACAAUCACCUGCCUGUGGCUGACGUGCAAAGCCGCAGAUGCCGUGUUUGGGCUCACCAACCGAGACGCGGUCAGGAGAAGAGCCAUAAUAAGCAAUUCAGCCGAGCCUUCGAUCCACUCUUUUGAAACCUCUUUCAAAUGAAAUCCUGAAAUAGUAUCGCAUUUCCACAGGCAUCAAGCUGUCAGCUUUAAAGAAGAGCAGGCUUCUGAGGCUUGAUCCCUUUCCUGAGCAGCUGAGGCCCACGCGGAGGGGAGGAACAGAUGUACGAGGGGGAGGGGAGAGGCCUGUCCUGCCCACCAGCAUCCUGGUUGGCCGGGUUUCCCCACUAGGAGCCCCUGGUGCCUCGCAUCAGGGCGGCAGUAGGGGCGGGGUGCUCUUUCCUCUCUCCCUCCCCAGAGCAGAGAGGCCAGUUGUGACCUUCGCUGGCACUGGGGAUGGGGUGUCCUGUCUCAGAGCCAGGAACAGACAUUUCUUGUCACGUCCUCAGUUGAAAAGCAGCUGCCGCCCACCCACCGCUCGCCCUGGCUCUGACCCAGGGGGCCCCAGCAGCAAGGACAAAGGUUCCAUCAGAUAGUCAGAAGGACUAGCCUCCCCUCCUGGCACCAACACCAGCAGCUCCAUGACCCGGGCUGUUAUUUAGCCUCUGUGGGCCUCAGUUUGCCCAUCUGUCAAAUGUGCAAGAGUCCCACAAACUCACGCUGAACUAAGUGCAAGCAAGGCACAGGAACUCCCCCAGCUUCCCUGCCUUUGGAGGUGGGGCCCGGGGCUUCCAGGUCACAGGACACCAGAUCUGCCUGAUGGCAACACAGGCCAGGCUGGGGGAGGCUCUGCGGUCAUGCCGGUGUCUCCCCAGUGGACGUCUGGCUGGAGGUCAGUUAGAGCUUCUGUAGCUCUUUUGAGGCACAGUGAACAAACAGAGCGUUCGCUACACAAUAACUACCU